CACUAACCCACACUCAGUCACCUGUCCACACUCAUAAUCACUCACUCACUAACCCACACUCACUCAAACUCACACUCAGUCUCUCUCACAUGCACUCAGUCUCUCUCUCACACACUCAUCUAUUACAGUCUCUCACACACUCACUGUCUCUCACACUCACACACUCUCUCACACUCAAUCUAAAUUUUUAAAAUAAGUCUACUUACAGUUUGAAGUCAGGAGAUCUCUGCCUUCUGCCUUCAGCUUGUCAGCUCCAGC